AUGCACGCCCACCAUCACGUCGGAGCCGUUCUGGACGCGGUGCAUCUGCGCGAGCUCUGUGUACGGGCGCGGCCGGAGCAUGGUCACCCGGAAUCCGGCCCUUCCACCGCGCUCGCCAGCUCCGCCUCGUUCUCGACCGCGCGCGACCCGUUCCAGGACACGAUCACCAGCCGCGGCUUGUCGUCGUCCGCGACCGCCUCCUUGUCGCUGCUGCUGCGAGGUGGUUGCCGUUGGUGCUCCAUGGAGAGGCGGACUCCUCCUCGCCGGCCUGGGCACGCGGCGGGCUGGGCGCUGCUCGUCGGCCUGGGCGCGCGGCGGGGAUGUGCGCUGCUCGUCGGCCGGUGCGGCGGGGCUGGCGCUGCUCGUCGACUGGCGCGCCGGGCUGGGCACGCGGCCGCCGGCGCUCCAUGGAGAGGCGGGCGUGCUAGCGCUGCUCACUCUCUCUGUCGAGAGGAAAAUAAUUUGCGCCUAGGAGCUGUUUGA
rnacentral:rRNA from 1 species